CAGAGUUUGAUCCUGGCUCAGGACGAACGCUGGCGGCGUGCUUAACACAUGCAAGUCGAACGGUAAGGCCCCUUCGGGGGUACACGAGUGGCGAACGGGUGAGUAACACGUGGGUGAUCUGCCCUGCACUCUGGGAUAAGCCUGGGAAACUGGGUCUAAUACCGGAUAUGAGCUCCUGUCGCAUGGCGGGGGUUGGAAAGGUUUACUGGUGCAGGAUGGGCCCGCGGCCUAUCAGCUUGUUGGUGGGGUAAUGGCCUACCAAGGCGACGACGGGUAGCCGGCCUGAGAGGGCGACCGGCCACACUGGGACUGAGACACGGCCCAGACUCCUACGGGAGGCAGCAGUGGGGAAUAUUGCACAAUGGGCGAAAGCCUGAUGCAGCGACGCCGCGUGAGGGAUGACGGCCUUCGGGUUGUAAACCUCUUUCAGCAGGGACGAAGCGAGAGUGACGGU
rnacentral:rRNA from 2 species